rnacentral:rRNA from 1 species
UAGGGAAUCUUCCACAAUGGACGCAAGCCUGAUGGAGCAACGCCGCGUGAGUGAAGAAGGGUUUCGGCUCGUAAAGCUCUGUUGUUAAAGAAGAACGUGGGUAAGAGUAACUGUUUACCCAGUGACGGUAUUUAACCAGAAAGCCACGGCUAACUACGUGCUAG